AACAGGAGCCCUAGCAUGGACUUCCCAAAUAUCUUCCCAAUCUGUACCCUCUUUAGCAGCUCAUCCCUCUCCAUGUGAGCGACUUAGACCACGGAGCCAGAGUAAAAAGACGCUGUUGUGUAAGGUGCAGACAAUUCCCUUUGGGAUUGUGCCAGGUAGAGGUCUUCAAAUCACAUAGGCAGAGCAAGGGCACCUUUUUUUUAUCAGUUAAG